AAUCAUUCUGUGCAAUGAUCCUGCUUGGCUUUGCAGCAUCUUGAUAGUAUUUUGAACCAUACAUUGUAUACACAGACAUCCAGAUAGCUGCUGCCUUACGGAGGAUGAGUCCAAGCUCCCAGGCAUCAAGAUGACAUCCAGAUGCCAAAUCUCCAAUAAUCAAUAUUGCAUCCAGAUUGGGUGCAUUGCCAGGAGAAAGUCUCACAUAUCAGCUCUGCAGUCAAGCCUAGCCAUAGCUUUGUGACGGUGAGCCAGGGACUCGUCUCCAUAUACAAUUUGCAACAUUAAUGAUUUAUGAUCUACCGUGGAAGAUCAUUAUCGGGUGACUACAAACAUGCUGUGUUUCCCUCUUGGGUGUGUUCGGAGUGCAGUUCUAGGAACAUAAAGUUAAGGAGUACCACAGUGGGUGAGCCCAAACCAGUCUGAGCAGCCUUGUUUGAGUCUGCAGAUGCACAUGUAUUCCUGAUGCUGCUUCUCCCUUUUGCCUGUUGCCCCAGUCUUGUGAAUAAGGUCUUGCUGUACCAGUCUUACAUUUUGUCUUUUGACAGUGUUUUUGUUUUA